CUAGACAUGGGGAGUGCAGAGGGGUAUUCCCCUCUGUCGGUUUAGGAGGGUGCUCAGGUCGUAAGACCGUCGAAGGGAAC
ncrna:Alkaliphilus metalliredigens QYMF Clostridiales-2 RNA